UCGGGAUAGGAGAGCAAGACUAUUUC
rnacentral:piRNA from 1 species